CUCUGGUUGACUAAAGCCUCAGUUUCGGUUAGCUUUCUGCGCGGACAACACACUAUGGAGCAGUCGGAGUAUGUGCCGUCGCUGCCCGAAAUUGCAUGCCAGCAGUACGCCGAAAAGCUGGAAGUUCAUGGCAAGCAGUAUCCUGACCCGAACACAAUUUCGGUGGGAAUGAAUGACCCGAAGCCUUGGCCAUAGGCUAGGUUUGGGGAGAAAUACAUGUACAUCGUUCACACGCGUGGCCGGUACAGUGCUAAGGCGAUCAAAUCCUACCGAUCGCUGAAAGCGUACGGCCUUGCCAUAGAAGGGCACGUACACAAAAUGCAAAUUUUCGACUUGAGUAUGGAAUGCUGUUUCCUGAAAGCAGAAGUGACGCCGUUGCAGAGGAAGGCCUCCAAGCCUUACGAGGCAUGGGAUCUUGUUUGUGGAGACGGCAGAGUUCACACGAUGCAUUGUACGUGCAUGGCUGGACUUGGAGAAGUCUGCGCACAUGUGGCAGCACUGCUUUUCAAAGUGGAGCUGCUCAUUUUGUCUGCGUUUGUGAGGUCCACAACAUCCCAGCUUUGCGAGUGGAACAACACGUUUCGAGAAAGUGUGGAGCCUACAUGGGUCAGAGACGCGAACAUUGUGAAAGACCGACACGGCAAGGGCUUCAAGGGAAUGAAGAGGAAGCGCUGUGUUGCACAAGCCGCGAAGGCAACGUUUCCAGGAAUUCUUGACUCGCUUUAUUCUGUUCUUCCGGCUGCAGUUGUGUUUACAGCAUUCUCAAAGUAUGCCACACUUGGUGAAGAAACAGAAAGCGCUGAUGAAUGCGAGAUUGCUGCUGAACUGCCAGAAAGCUUGUGCGAAAUGUAUGACAAGACAUGGGAAACCCAGAAUAAGUCUGCCAGAGAUAGUGAUAUUGAUUCAUUAUUGAAGGCGCGGAUGAGCCACAAUGAUGUCGCACAGAUAGAAGAAAAAACAAGAAUGCAAAGGAAGUGCUUGCUCCGGUUUCAGCAAAGAUGUGGGCGGGUAACGGGAUCAGCGUAGAGUAAAGUUGUUAAAUGUAAGAACGAGAGUUCUGCAGCACGCCUAGCAGCCAACAUUGCCCAGUCUCCUCUAGUGCUUUAUGAAACUCGUCACAGAAAGGCUGUCGCUAUGAAUUAUGGAAUAGAGCAUGAAGAGAUAGCAAGGAAGCGGUAUGUUCAGUACCAGAAGCAACACGACGUCGAUUUUAAAUGCAGAUAGGCCGGCCUGUUUAUUUGUGAAGAAUUUCAGUUUAUUGCAGCCAGUCCAAUUGACACUGUAGAAUGCAGUUGCUGUAACCGUCGAGUUAUUGAAAUUAAAUGCCCAUACAAGUACAGAGAUCUGCCCAUUAUUGAAAUUAUAAAGAAAGGUUUCUACUUAGAUGAAAAUUGUCGC